AUUGAACGCUGGCGGCAGGCCUAACACAUGCAAGUCGAGCGGAGCGGCGGUCGGGUGAGUAAUGCCUAGGAAUCUGCCUGGUAGUGGGGGAUAACGUCCGGAAACGGGCGCUAAUACCGCACACUAUCAGUUGAGUCUAGUCCGGAUUAGCUAGUUGGUGGGGUAAAGGCCUACCAAGGCGACGAUCCGUAACUGGUCGGAGAGGAUGAUCAGUCAAACGGGAACUGGGACACGGUCCCGACUCCUACGGUGGGCAGCAGUGGGGAAUAUGGGAAAAUGGGCGAAAGCCUGAUGCGGCCAUGCCGCGUGUGUGAAGAAGGUCUUCGGAUUGUAAAGCACUUUAAGUUGGAAGGCGUUACCAACAGAAUAAGCAACGGCUAACUUCGUGCCAGCAGCCGCGGUAAUAC
rnacentral:rRNA from 1 species